rnacentral:rRNA from 1 species
UACGUAGGGGGCAAGCGUUGUCCGGAUUUAUUGGGCGUAAAGAGCGUGUAGGCGGCCAGACAGGUCCGUUGUGAAAACUCGAGGCUCAACCUCGAGACGCCGAUGGAAACCCCCUGGCUAGAGUCCGGAAGAGGAGAAUGGAAUUCCUGGUGUAGCGGUGAAAUGCGCAGAUAUCAGGAGGAACACCGAUGGCGAAGGCAGGUCUCUGGGCCACUACUGACGCUGAGAAGCGAAAGCAUGGGGAGCGAACAGG